rnacentral:rRNA from 1 species
UCGGGGCUAGUAUGAAUGAAUACUCCUAAAACCUACUUUAUUUUCUCAUGAAAUAAAAACUUACUUUUAGGUGAAGAGGCCUAAAUUUUAUUAAAAGACAAGAAGACCCUAUCAAGCUUUAGUAAAAUAAUAUUAUAUAAUAUUAAUUCCUUUGGUUGGGGCGACAAGAAAUAUAAUUUAUCAUUUCUAAACCCUAAGAUAAAUAAAUCAUAAUAAAUAACUUAACUAUAAACAUAAGAAAGCUACUGUAGGGAUAACAGGCUAAUACUUUUUAAGAGCCCUCAUCAACAAAAGUGAUUGGCACC